AUUGAACGCUGGCGGCAUGCCUUACACAUGCAAGUCGAACGGUAGCACGGUGCAACCUGGUGGCGAGUGGCGAACGGGUGAGUAAUGCAUCGGAACGUACCUUUCAGUGGGGGAUAACGUAGCGAACGUUACGCUACUACCGCAUAUUCGGUGAGCAGCAACGCAGGGGAUCGCAAGACCUUGCGCUGAUUGAGCGGCCGAUGUCAGAUUGGCUAGUUGGUGAGGUAAAGGCUAACCAAGGCGACGAGCUGUAGCGGUUCGGAGAGGAUGAUCCGCCACACUGGAACUGAGACACGGUCCAGACUCCUACGGGAGGCAGCAGUGGGGAAUUUUGGACAAUGGGGGCAACCCUGAUCCAGCCAUGCCGCGUGAGUGAAGAAGGCCUUCGGGUUGUAAAGCUCUUUCGGCCGGGAAGAAAUCGCACGGGCUAAUACCCUGUGUGGAUGACGGUACCGGAAUAAGAAGCACCGGCUAACUACGUGCCAGCCGCCGCAGUAACAC
rnacentral:rRNA from 1 species